CCUCUUUGCCCCUUCUUUCAGGGUGCUGGACUGCUCAAAUUUUAUUAGCAUAGGUAACAGUUUAUAUAGACAGCUUAAUUGUAACUUACAUCACAGUGCUUAGAUCACAUUCUCAAAGGUUAAAUUUUAGACUACAUGGUAUGGUAGAUAUACAAUGUGUUCUAAAAAUUUUAAUCAAAACUAACGGAUACAAUGCAUCAUGCAAAAUUAUAAUGGGUACAAAACAUUAUGUGGAAAAAUCAUUAUAUGAAAAUAAGGCAAUUCGAUAUAAAAUGUCUUGUGGUUACUUUUAGCAAGCACCACCGUUAUUGUUUUAAGCUAGUCUUUAACAACUAGAAAGGUCACAAGCACAAGAAUUUAACAUUUACAAAAACUCAUUUUUUAGAUUAAAGCUUAGGGUACUAACUUCAAAGCGUUAUGGUCAGGGGACAGUAUGAGAAAAUAUUUUAUAUAUCAAAGCAACUUAAUUUUCUAAAACUUAAAAGUUCCCUACAAAACUUAUUAAAAGCAAGAUUAUAUUUUUCCAUCAAGAAUGAUGUAUGUCUAACCUAUUCUAACCUGUUGUACACUCCACAAUUACCUAACUCUAAAACCUAUUUUUACUUGUAAUAAACCAAUGAACACUUUGUUUUUGCUUGUAUUAGAUCUGAAUAGGGGGAAUUUCACCAAGGUGAAACUCAUUAUUUUAUUACUGUUCCAAUUUUUGUUGUUCCAAUUUUAUUGAAUCACAAAACAAUAUAGAAAAUAACAAUAUAGAAAAAUAACAAAGAAUAACAAAUAACAGAAAAGGCUGAGUAAUAAGUAAAUAACAGGAAAGACUGAAUUUUCCAAGAAGCAAUUUUUUAUUCUUGCACUAUUCUGCAAAGCCUUCAUUUUGUUAUUGCUGCUGUUGUUGUUGGGUUAGCAGGUGAGCCUCAUUAUUUUUAGAACUUGCCCUCGGAACUGUGCCACCGGGUAAGCCCCUUACCCUAUUUCUAAACCUGCCCUCGGAACUGUGCUGGCGGGUAGGCUUUUUUUCCCUCGGUUAGAAACCAUGCCUUUGGGAACUGCUAGUUCCAUUCCUUGGCCUCCUGUAUCUCCUUGGCUCCCCGCAGGUUGCUUCCAUGUCUUGGCUAUUGAAAACAGUGCUGCUAUGAACUUUGGGUUGCCUGUAUCUUUUCAAAGUAGUACUUUUGGUUUUUUUCAGAUAUAUAUACAGGAGUAGAAUUGCUGGAUCAUAUGGUUGUAUUAUUUUUAGUUUUUAAAGAAACCUCUAUGUUGUUUUCCACAUUGGCUACACCAGUUUAUAUUCCCACCAACAGUGUAGGAGGGUUCCCUUUUCUCCACAUUCUCGCCAAUAUUUGUUACUUGUGUUCAUUUUGAUGAUAGUCAUUCUGACAGGUGUGAAGUGACAUCUCAUUUUGGUUUUGAUUUGCAUUUCCCAGAUGAUUAGCAGUGUUGAGCCUCUUUUCAUGUGUCUGUUGGCCAUCUGCAUUUCCUCUUUGGGAAAAGGUCUGUUCAGAUCUUCUGCCCAUUUUUUAUAAUUGGAUUGAUGUUGAAUUGUAUGAGCUUUUUUUUCCCUUCUUUUUACAGCCACACUUGUGGCAUAUGAAAGUUUUCAGGCUAGGGGUUGAAUAAGAGCUACAGCUGUUGGCUUACAUCACAGCCACAGCAACACCAGAUCUGAGGCACAUCCAUGACCUAUACACGGCUUGCAGCAACACUGGAUCCUUAACCCACAGAGUGAGGCCAGAGAUUGAACCUACAUCCUCAUGGAUACUAGUUGGGUUCUUAACCCUCUGAGCCACAGAAAAUUCCAUAUGAGCUAUUUAUAUAUGUUGGAUAUUAACCCCUUAUUGUUCAUAUCAUAUGCAAAUAGCUUUUCCUAUUCUAUGGGUUGUCUUUUCAUUUUGUCAAUGAUUCCCAUUUAUUUUUGCUUUUAUUUUCUUUGCUUUAGAAGUUGGACCCAAAAAUGUAUUGCUGUUAUUUAUGUCAGAAUGUUCUGUCUAUGUUUUCCUCUAGGAGUUUUAUAGUAUCCAUCUUACAUUUAGGUCUUUAAUCCACUUUAGUUUAUUUCUGUAUAUGAUAUUAGAUAAUGUUCUAGUUUCAUUCUUUUUCAUGCAGCUGUCUGAUUUUCUCAGCACCACUUGUUGAAAAGGCUGUUUUAUUUCUUUUGUAUAUUCUUGCCUCCUUCAUCCUAGAUUAAUUAACUAUAAUGUGUAUAUGUAUAUGUGCUAUCAUAGAAAUCUCAUAAAAACAUUAGUAAGUAAAAAAAAGUUGCAUAAGAAUAUUUAUAGAAUGACCUCAUUCCUAUGACAAAUUAUAAACAAGCCAUAUUCAAUUUGUUUCUGGUUGGUAGUAAAGUGAAACUUUCUCUACACAUGUGAUUUUUUCCUUGGGAAUGUAUCCAUAUAUUGUACAUACAUUUUAUUUUUAGAAUAGAUGGCAUGCAGACACGUAUGUUUUUAGAAGUAAGAAUUUCAAAUAGGGAAACAGAAGAGUCAGAGACUCUGAAAUUCAGAGGUUCUGAAAGCUGAUAAUAUGCAUUUUAGAACCAAGAAAGGCCUGAAUGAAGGUUCCAAUAAAACUUUGCAGUGCUGGGGAACAGGAAUCUAUCCACAGCACAUCAUUUCCUUACCUCUAAAUAGAAGAGGUCCUCCAGGGCUUUUCUGGACUUCUCUUUCCUGUUCUUUUCUCCCUGUCUCCCUGAUUGCCCUGAUUGUCCUCAGAGUCCUGGGUCAAGAAUGAGACAUGCCUGGGAGGGAUUACUCCAAAGCAAUAAAAACCUCCCGCAGUAGUUCCUGAUCCAAAUUCCCACCCAUCUUCCACCAAGCUCUACUUACUUAGUAUUGGAACCUGGUAGCUCUGGACAUGAUGGCCCCACCAUCACCAGCCACACUGCUCUGUGGGGGAGAGCCCUACAGCCUGACACAGACACCUCUGUUUCUCUCCAUGGUAUUAAAAAGUAGCUGGUCAAUGAGUACCCCAAGAAAACUCAGUUGUCUCUGGUUUCUUAAGGCUCUUCCUAUAUUCUGGUAAGCUUUCUUAUAAAUGAUUCUUUAUCAUUUUAAAAAAUUUUAUUAGAGUAUAGUUGAUUUACAAUGUUUGCAUCAUGUUUAUAGCAAAGUGGAUCAGUUAUACAUAUAUCCAUUCUUUCCCCGCAUAGGUUAUCGGGGGAACAUUAAGUAAACCUCCCUACACUAUACAGUAGGUCCUUGAGAUUCUUUAUCAUUUUAACUGUGAGGGUUAGGUUGAUAUUAUUGAGUCAAGAUGAGUAGUUGUGCCUAUCAAGAGCCAGGAAGUAUAGUCCAAAAACUGUGAAAGGAGUUUACAACAUUGCUCAAUUUAUUUUCCUCAAUUACAGUUAUGAGGUAAGAACUAUUAAUGUUCCCAUUUUAUAGAUGAGAAAACAAACAGUAGCUUAAAGGUAUUGAGUAAGUGUCCAAGUUCACUUGGUUAGUAAGUAGCAGAGUUAAGAUUUAAAUCCAAAUUCAAACCUGGUUAGUCUAAUUUCUAACCCUGUACACAUAACUUUCACAAAAGGGUUAGUAUGGGCUCAUCAGGGGAAAAUUGUUACUUAACAAAAUUCAACCUAAGGCUUACAGCUUUUUAAAGCAUAGUAUUUGCUUAAUUCUGAGGAUGUUUUCAUGGCAAGAGUUACAUGGAAUAGCAGGAUCAUGCUCAUAAACAGUUUGAGUGGACUUUAUCGAUUUCAUUCUCUAAAAAUAUGACAGCAGGACAAUGUUAUCCUUCCCAUUUUGCAGAUAACACCAGCCAGUAGUUUUUAAAUCAGCAUAUCCAUUUUGAGCAUAUCCUUUCAGGAUUCAUCACACUGCAAACAUCCCUCUUAUAUGCAUUGAUGAAGAUAAAUUCUCUAAGGAACCCUCCAAAUAGCCCAUGCCAACAAAUGAGCUUCAAAGUACAUUCAGAUUUUAAACACCUGAAAACUUAGAGUAGAUAACCUUUCCCUAUCUGAGAAAAGCAAAGAAACUCUUUAACUAUGGCCUGGUACAAGGAGGCGUUCAUAUUUGCUGCCCAGACAUUGUCUCCCUGUACCUCCAGCCACAGAAAACAGGGAUUUGAUGAGAAGAGGAAGCUGAAAUAAAUGAGAGAAGCCUCCAGAUUUUAAUGACUUAGUACUUUACUUCAGAACCCAUAAACAACUCCUUACCAUCUGGCCUCACUUUAUUUUUUAUCACACCGGAGGGAAUCUCAGCCUACUACAUGAUUUUUUUUAAAAAGUCAGGAUCAAAUUUCUCCUUUUUCCCAACCCCUACUUCCAGCUCUGAGCACAGAGUUUUUCAAAGUAAAUCUUUGCUAUUAUUCUUACAGAGAAAGAAAUCUGGUGUGAAUGAAAAAGAACUCUAAGACAAGCACAAAAGGUGUUUUGUUUCUUUCAAAAUGAUGUAAUUUAUACAGCUGUGUAUAUGAGCAAAGCUGUUUCAGAGAAGCAAAUUUGAGCAUGACUUUCAAGCCUUGGCACCAUGUCCCUAAGAGCUGUUCUCAAGUCAUUUCACUUCACUCUACCUUUGGUGUCUCCAUCAGACAC
rnacentral:lncRNA from 1 species